rnacentral:rRNA from 1 species
CACGUAGGCGGACACUUAAGUCAGGGGUGAAAUCCCGGGGCUCAACCUCGGAAUUGCCUCUGAUACUGGGUGUCUCGAGUCCGAGAGAGGUGAGUGGAACUCCGAGUGUAGAGGUGAAAUUCGUAGAUAUUCGGAAGAACACCAGUGGCGAAGGCGGCUCACUGGCUCGGUACUGACGCUGAGGUGCGAAAGCGGUGGGGAGACAAACA